GGUCAUGAGUGCCAGCGACAAGCCCCGGCUAGCUGGCCGGCAACCCUUGCGUCCGCGAUGGGGUGCCCCGGGUGAGGACCGGGCCGGCGUCGAUGACGACGCGGGCAAGCGCGGGCC
rnacentral:ncRNA from 2 species